rnacentral:rRNA from 1 species
UACAGAGGGCUCAAGCGUUGUUCGGAUUCAUUGGGCGUAAAGGGUGCGUAGGCGGCGCGGUAAGUCGGGGGUGAAAUCUUGGAGCUUAACUCCGAAACUGCAUUCGAUACUGCCGUGCUUGAGGACUGGAGAGGAGACUGGAAUUUACGGUGUAGCGGUGAAAUGCGUAGAUAUCGUAAGGAAGACCAGUGGCGAAGGCGGGUCUCUGGACAGUUCCUGACGCUGAGGCACGAAGGCCAGGGGAGCAAACGGG